rnacentral:tRNA from 1 species
GCCCAAGUGGUCGAGUGGCUAGACACUGCUCUGCAAAAGCAGGUACACUGGUUCGAAUCCAGUCUUGGGCUCCA